UAAAUACUAAAAUCCAAGUUAGAUCCAAUAAUUAUCUCUCUUACUUACGUUGUUGUUAUUAUUAUAUAUUAGAGAAAAGAACGCCUGGAAAGUCAUUCUCUCGUCUGUGGUUCAUAAUCGGUGACUGUUCGAUGUAAGUCCCCAGAGCAAUCGGAAAUGCAAUCGCCCCUGCCAUAGACACAGUAUAAUCAGUACAUCUACGGUGAAAAAGUCGAGCCCAAACCUGUUCUUGGAUGUAUUAAUUCAUCUGUCCCGGUGGCACGCAGUCUUGGCUCAUCUGCUAUAAACAUCUUCGUCCGGAAAAUUGAAUCUGCAGUGCCAAUUGUGAAAGUGCACACUUAUUCAUCAUCUUCAAAUUUACACGCUUCAAGAUUAUUUAUGUUAGACCCUCCCCUGAACUUGUUCUUAUUUCUCUCCUCUUUGUCCUCUCAAUGGUAUGCUAUUCAUUUUCUAAAAAUUGCAAUGCAC
rnacentral:lncRNA from 1 species